rnacentral:rRNA from 1 species
GACGAACGCUGGCGGCGUGCCUAAUACAUGCAAGUAGGACGCAGUUGCGAACGGGUGAGUAACGCGUAGGUAACUACCUAUUAGAGGGGGAUAACUAUUGGAAACGAUAGCUAAUACCGCAUACUAGUAGAUGGACCUGCGUUGUAUUAGCUAGCAGGUAGGGUAAUGGCCUACCUAGGCAACGAUACAUAGCCGAACUGGGAGGGUGAACGGCCAACACGGGACUGAGGAACGGGCCAGACCUCUACGGGGAGGAGGAGUAGGGAAUUCUCGGGAAUGGGGGGAAACCUGACCGAGGAAAGCCGGGGGAGGGAAGAAGGGUUUCGGAUCGGAAAGGCCUGUUGGUAAGGAAGCGGUACUUAACCAGAAAGGGACGGCUAACUACGUGCCAGCCGCCGCGGUAAUUC